rnacentral:rRNA from 1 species
CCUACGGGUGGCAGCAGUGAGGAAUAUUGGUCAAUGGCCGGAAGGCUGAACCAGCCAUGCCGCGUGAAGGUCAGUGCCCUAUGGGCGUUAAACUUCCUUUGUGCGGGAGCAAUAAUGGUCACGUGUGGCCAGACGAGAGUACCGUACGAAUAAGCAUCGGCUAACUCCGUUCCAGCAGGCGCGGUAAUACCGGGGGUGCAAGCGUUAUCCGGGUUUUUUGGGUUUAAAGGGUGCGUAAGCUGUGAGGUAAGUCAGCGGUGGAAUGCCCGCGCGUAACGGGGGGAAGUGCCAUUGAUACUGCCUUGCUGGAAUGCGGAUGCCGUGGGAGGAAUGUGUGGUGUAGCGGUGAAAUGCAUAGAUAUCACACAGAACACCGAUUGCGAAGGCAUCUCACGAAUCCGCGAUUGACGCUGAUGCACGAAGGCGUGGGUAUCAAACAGGAUUAGAUACCCGAGUAGUC